rnacentral:misc_RNA from 1 species
GAUGAAGAACGCAGCGAAAUGCGAUAAGUAAUGCGAAUUGCAGAAUUCAGUGAAUCAUCGAAUCUUUGAACGCACAUUGCGCCCGCCAGUACUCUGGCGGGCAUGCCUGUCUGAGCGUCAUUUCAACCCUCGCCCCCGGCUUCUGUCGGGGACGGUGUUGGGGAUCGGCCUCCCGUCUUCCGGGUGGCCGGCCCCUAAAUCGAGUGGCGACCACGUCGUAACCUCCUCUGCGUAGUAGUAACUCACCUCGCGGGUCGGAGAGCGGCGCGGAUCCUGCCGUAAAACCCCCAACUUCACAAGGUUGACCUCAGAUCAGGUAGGAAUACCCGCUGAACUUAAGCAUAUCAAUAAGCGGAGGA